GCCCCCCUGUGGCACAGUGGGUCAUUGUGUCUGACGGUUAAUCAGAAGGUUGGUAGUUCGAGCCCACCCAAGGACA